rnacentral:rRNA from 1 species
GAUGAACGCUGGCGGCGUGCCUAACACAUGCAAGUCGAACGAAACUGAUUUCAUGAAACUUCGGUAGAUUGGAUGAAAGUUGAGUGGCGGACGGGUGAGUAACACGUGGGCAACCUGCCUCACAGAGGGGGAUAGCAGUUGGAAACGACUGAUAAUACCGCAUAAGCACACAGUACCGCAUGGUACAGGGUGAAAAGAUUUAUCACUGUGAGAUGGACCCGCGUCUGAUUAGCCAGUUGGCAGGGUAACGGCCUACCAAAGCGACGAUGCAUAGCCGAGUUGAGAGACUGAUCGGCCACAUUGGGACUGAGACACGGCCCAAACUCCUACGGGGAGGCAGCAGUAGGGAAUCUUCCACAAUGGACGCAAGUCUGAUGGAGCAACGCCGCGUGAGUGAAGAAGGUUUUCGGAUCGUAAAGCUCUGUUG